CAAUAGCGUAUAUUAAAGUUGUUGCGGUAAAAAAGCUCGUAGUUGGAUUUCUGUUGAGAGCGACCGGUCCAUACCAUGUAUGCGUAUCUGGCUUGCUCUCGGCAUCCUCUCGAUAGACGUUACUGCGCUUGAUUGCGUGGUGCGGAUCUCGGGACUUUUACUUUGAGGAAAUUAGAGUGUUCACGGCAGGCUUUCGCCAGAAUACAUUAGCAUGGAAUAAUACUAUAGGAUCUUGGUUCUAUUUUGUUGGUUUCUAGAAUUGAGAUAAUGAUUAAUAGGGACAAUUGGGGGCAUUCGUAUCAACACGUCAGAGGUGGAAUUCUUGGAUUGUGUUGCGACGAGCUACUGCGAAAGCAUUUGCCAAGGAUGUUUUCAUUGA
rnacentral:rRNA from 1 species